AGAUAAAAUAAAAUAAAAUAAAAUAAAAUAAAAUAAAAUAAAAUAAAAUAAAAUAAAAUAAAAUAAAAUACGCGCACGAUACGGUUGCGCGAGUCUGAGAAAGCGUCCGGUAGGUCGGAUGGUUAAAUAUACAAAGGAGCCAAGGGGCUCAAGGAAAGAAGAAGAAGAAGUGCAAAGCAAAAAUACCUUGCGAAGUAAUAACCAGCGAAGGUGAGAACAUGGCUAAUACAAGAAGUUUAGGUUAAGUCGGUAAGCGUACUGCAAGAAGAACAGUAUGAAUCCACAUGCCACGUGGGUAGUGGUCUCUUUUAAAGAAUUUCCCUCGAUACAAAAAAAUGCACAGCAGGUUUUUCUAAUCUCGACUAACUGUGUAGAAUGGAAUAUGACAGGUUUGGAUGAUCGUUUUUCAGAGUGAUUGUAUAAUCCUUCUGCAUGAGAAAUUCAAGAAAUAGGUUAAUUUGCUCGAAUUUUGGCGCAGCGCCGUUACACAUAUUACAUAAAACACAAAUGACGAACAAAACUUUUAAAUCUACAGGAUCGAUUCAUAAGAACGAGAUUUUUCUUGAAAGACGGCGAACAUCUUCGCUUCAGAGCCUCGACUUACAAAAAAAUCUAUCGGAGAAGAAAGUUCCUGCCACAAAUGCUGAAUAUGAGUAUGAACAAAAGCGAAGUACGAUAUCAACCGAAGAAUGCAAAAAGAACAUUUUUUCAAUCAAUAUAAAACAGAAGCUUUGCAACAUUUUUCGUAUAAAUAAACGCCAGCAAUACUUAAGAACCAAAAAAUCGCUUGGUGAUUGCCGAACAGCAACAAAUGGAUGUAAUACGAAGUUUAGAUCAAUCGAUGACUAUUAUAAGAAGUGGAGUGCAUCAACACGAAAACUGCCGCCGUUGCCCAAGUCAGUGGGCAAAUCGGUAACCAAUAGAGUCUCUCAACAUGGAAUUAUACACACAAUUAUUCCCGCAAAACAAAAUAAGAAAGCGUGUGUCAUGGAAUUCACUGCUAGUAUUGACAAAGUCAAAGAUUGUGGAUGGUAUUGGGGGCCAAUAUCGUCUGAAGGAGCAGAAAAAAUAUUAUCAAACGAAACGGAUGGAAGCUUCUUAGUACGCGACAGCUCGGACGAUCAUUACAUUUUCUCCUUGACAUUUAAAUUGAACGGUUCUGUACGUCAUGUGAGAAUUGAUCAAGAUCAAGGGACGUUUUCAUUCGGAUCUUGCGCAAAAUUCAAAUCGCGUACCAUAAUGGAGUUCAUCGAAAAUGCAGUUGAGCAUUCGAGAAGCGGAAGAUAUUUAUUUUUUCUUCAUCGACGACCAGAGCAUGGGCCACUGCGUGUUCAAUUAACUAAACCAGUUUCACGAUUCAAACACGUUCAAAGUUUGCAGCAUUUGUGUAGUUUAUAUGGGAAUUUGCUGUGUGAUUGCACUCUUCAAUUCAUAACUCCGGAACCGGAUGUCCAAUCAAUAAAAAAUCAAUAGCAGCCGAUGGGAAGGUUGUACCUUUCAUUUGAGACUAACUUUGUGCAAAUCGGUCCAGCCAUCUCCGAGAAACAGAGGUCACAUUUUUUCCACAUACACACAGACAUUUUCCGAUCUCGACGAACUCAGUCGGUUGGCAUAUGACGCUCGGCCCUCCGGGUCGGGAUUAGAUUGACGAAUUUUAGAGUGAAUGAGAAAGGCAAAAACAUUUUUAGCAAAUGUUGAAAGGUUCAUCAUACAUAGGACGAUAAUAAGAAAAGAUCUUAUUCAAACAUUGCCAUUGCCAAGAAGAGUAUUAGAUUACUUAAAUUACAAAAAUUGUCUUUUAGAACGUAUUGAACGGGAUAUGG